GAAAGCACGACAUUGCUCACAUUGCUUCCAGUAUUAUUUUACAGCCAGCGCUUCGCUGGCUUUUUUUU
rnacentral:antisense_RNA from 1 species